UACGUAGGGUGCAAGCGUUAAUCGGAAUUACUGGGCGUAAAGCGUGCGCAGGCGGUUGUGCAAGACAGAUGUGAAAUCCCCGGGCUCAACCUGGGAAUUGCAUUUGUGACUGCACGGCUAGAGUGUGUCAGAGGGGGGGUAGAAUUCCACGUGUAGCAGUGAAAUGCGUAGAUAUGUGGAGGAACACCGAUGGCGAAGGCAGCCCCCUGGGUCAAGACUGACGCUCGAUGCACGAAAGCGUGGGGGAGCGAA
rnacentral:rRNA from 1 species